GGCAUUCCCUUGAGAGGUGUUAUUAGCUGGGAUUACGCAUUCCUGGAUUACCAAAUUUGGGCCAUGGUUUAUGUAGUGCAAACAGUUUUUAAAAUAAGAGAAGCUGGCUUGCCCACAUUGAUCAGGGAUGAAGGCAAAAGGCUUUGCUUGCUCCAAGGAGACCACUUUUCCCCGCCCUCCUCUGUUUCAACAUCAGCAAAAGCGGGUGGAGGAAACAUCUGGAGAAGUGCUCAAGAGUUAUGACACGGAAAUGCAGCCAUCAGUUCAUGCUAUUCGGGUACAAGGAGGAGGAUUUCGAUGCUGGCCGGCUCAAGGUUGACUCAGACUUCCAUCCUUCCAAGAUUCUUGUACGGAGCUAGCAUGGAAUAAAUUUGCACUCAUUUGAACAGCCUUGGUUCUUGAUUUCGUUCACCUGACACAGAAAGUGCUUUGAACUCUGAAAUACAGUACGGUGCAAUUUACAAUCGGUUGUAACGACUGUUCACAGUUACAAUGGAUCCUCCAAAAGACACUGACUGCCUGGAAUCGGUGCAUCGCCAUCAUUCUUUGAUUUUAUGAAGCAGAAUAUACACUAAAGCCAUGUAAAAAUAAACUCUUCUCUGACCACUGCAGAGAUUAAUCCAUGGGGCUAACUGGAAUUACAGUGCUGCCCAUCUGGAGGGCCCCAAUCAAGAGCGGACUGAUAUCAACUGGUUCACCGAAGACUCAAAGAACUCAGACCCACUUCUGAGAAAAAAACAACAACAGAAAAAAAGAGCCUAACGAUUCAUCAAUAGUCAAUUGCUAAAGCAGGCCAACUUUAAAGUUUUACAGAAAUUAGUUUGAUUUAUCUGCAGCCAAGAAGAGACAGAGUUGCGCAACAAGAGGGGAAUUUCACAAGAAGAUUGGGGAAAAUUGCUGAGAGUCAUUAGUACUUUGGAAAUUGCCUUUCAGGUGGGCGAAACCUUAUAAUCAAAACAUUAUUUUACAACUUGGAUUGAAAAGUUACAAGUGGCCCAUGUUCAGACAGGCGUCAGGAGUUUCCCCUUUCUUAGAAAUUGUAAAGUGGGGUGGGGGACGACACUAUAAAGACGACAAAAUCUCUGUGCCGGAAUGAGCGGGUAGGUUGCCUUGAGAGAUGAAUCAGACUUUUCAUUCAGUUUUAUAAGUUGCCUUCCUUUGAGCAGGGCCUAUAAUUAUUCUCCUGUUGCAAAUCGGAUGUGCAGUAAUUAUAGAGCGGUUAGAAUCCAAUACAAUUUAUGGAACUCACCUAAUGAUGUGGUGAUUGUGUUAGCCUUCUCUUCUGUUUAUCCAGGUCAAAAUCUAGAAUUCCUUCUCCCUUGCUUUGUUAGUGCAUAUUCAUUUUUAUUUUAUUUUUUAUUUUUAGAUUUUAUUUGCAAAGUUAAAAUACAAAGCAAAAGGGGAAAAAAGAGAAAAUAAACCGGGGUGAAAUCUAGCAGUUUCUAACAGGUUCUAGAGAACUGGUAGCAGAAAUUUUGAGUAGUUCAGAGAACCGGCAAAUACCAUCUCUGUGAAUUCAAGAAUUUUCUUAAUUACUAUUUUGUCGGAUGGUACAUUGUUUUGUUUCCAAUUUUUUGCAAAUGUGAUUCUCGCUGCGGUGAGCAUGUGUAGUAUAAUGUAUUGGAGGUUUUGGUUCAUUUUCGGGUCCAGUACUGCUAAUAAAACAGUUCAAGUUUCAAAUCUAUUUUUUGCUUUGUAAUUUCUUCCAACCAUUUUUGAAUUUUACACAAAUACUUUCUUGUGCUGGGGCAUGUCCACCACAUAUGAUAGAAUGUUCUGGAU